rnacentral:rRNA from 1 species
AUUGAACGCUGGCGGCAGGCUUAACACAUGCAAGUCGAGCGGAGAUGAGGUGCUUGCACCUUAUCUUAGCGGCGGGCGGGUGAGUAAUGCUUAGGAAUCUGCCUAUUAGUGGGGGACAACAUUCCGAAAGGAAUGCUAAUACCGCAUACGUCAUACGGGAGAAAGCAGGGGAUCUUCGGACCUUGCGCUAAUAGAUGAGCCUAAGUCGGAUUAGCUAGUUGGUGGGGUAAAGGCCUACCAAGGCGACGAUCCGUAGCGGGUCUGAGAGGAUGAUCCGCCACACUGGGACUGAGACACGGCCCAGACUCCUACGGGAGGCGGCAGUGGGGAAUAUUGGACAAUGGGGGGAACCCUGAUCCAGCCAUGCCGCGUGUGUGAAGAAGGCCUUAUGGUUGUAAAGCACUUUAAGCGAGGAGGAGGCUACUGAGACUAAUACUCUUGGAUAGUGGACGUUACUCGCAGAAUAAGCACCGGCUAACUCUGUGCCAGCCGCCGCGGUAA